UACGUAGGGUGCAAGUGUUGUCCGGAAUUAUUGGGCGUAAAGAGCUCGUAGGCGGUUUGUCGCGUCGAAUGUGAAAACCCGGGGCUCAACCCCGGGCCUGCAUUCGAUACGGGCAGACUAGAGUUCGGUAGGGGAGUCUGGAAUUCCUGGUGUAGCGGUGAAAUGCGCAGAUAUCAGGAGGAACACCGGUGGCGAAGGCGGGACUCUGGGCCGAUACUGACGCUGAGGAGCGAAAGCGUGGGUAGCAAACAGG
rnacentral:rRNA from 1 species